rnacentral:rRNA from 1 species
CUAAGGAGACUGCCGGUGACAAACCGGAGGAAGUGGGGAUGACGUCAAGUCAUCAUGGCCCUUACGGCCUGGGCUACACACGUGCUACAAUGGUCGGUACAAAGGGUUGCCAAGCCGCGAGGUGGAGCUAAUCCCAUAAAACCGAUCGUAGUCCGGAUCGCAGUCUGCAACUCGACUGCGUGAAGUCGGAAUCGCUAGUAAUCGUGAAUCAGAAUGUCACGGUGAAUACGUUCCCGGGCCUU